rnacentral:rRNA from 1 species
AUAAGCCUGGGAAACUGGGUCUAAUACCGGAUAUGACCUGCGAUUGCAUGAUUGUGGGUGGAAAGUUUUUCGGUGGGGGAUGGGCCCGCGGCCUAUCAGCUUGUUGGUGGGGUGAUGGCCUACCAAGGCGACGACGGGUAGCCGGCCUGAGAGGGCGACCGGCCACACUGGGACUGAGACACGGCCCAGACUCCUACGGGAGGCAGCAGUGGGGAAUAUUGCGCAAUGGGCGGAAGCCUGACGCAGCGACGCCGCGUGGGGGAUGACGGCCUUCGGGUUGUAAACCUCUUUCGGCCCCGACGAAGCGAACAGUGACGGUAGGGGUAGAAGAAGCACCGGCCAACUACGUGCCAGCAGCCGCGGUAACACGUAGGGUGCGAGCGUUGUCCGGAAUUAUUGGGCGUAAAGAGCUCGUAGGCGGUGUGUCGCGUCGGCCGUGAAAACCUGCAGCUUAACUGUGGGCUUGCGGUCGAUACGGGCAUCACUGGAGUUCGGCAGGGGAGACUGGAAUUCCUGGUGUAGCGGUGAAAUGCGCAGAUAUCAGGAGGAACACCGGUGGCGAAGGCGGGUCUCUGGGCCGAUACUGACGCUGAGGAGCG